rnacentral:tRNA from 2 species
AAGUGAGAAGCAACAUUUGCAAUCAGUUUCGACCUGAUCUUAGAUAAACACAAUUUUAUCCUCACUUU